CUACGGGAGGCUCCAGUGGGGAAUAUUGGACAAUGGGGGAAACCCUGAUCCAGCAAUGCCGCGUGUGUGAAGAAGGCCUGCGGGUUGUAAAGCACUUUCGGUUGGGAGGACUGCUUCUAGCACUAAUAUUGUUGGAAGUUGACGUUACCUUCAGAAGAAGCACCGGCUAACUCCGUGCCAGCAGCCGCGGUAAUACGGAGGGUGCAGGCGUUAAUCGGAAUUACUGGGCGUAAAGCGCGCGUAGGCGGCUAGAUCAGUCGGGUGUGAAAGCCCCGGGCUUAACCUGGGAACUGCAUCCGAUACUGUAUAGCUUGAGUACAGGAGAGGAGAGUGGAAUUCCACAUGUAGCGGUGAAAUGCGUAGAUAUGUGGAGGAACACCAAUGGCGAAGGCAGCUCUCUGGCCUGAUACUGACGCUGAGGUGCGAAAGCGUGGGGAGCAAACAGGAUUAGAUACCCCAGUAGUC
rnacentral:rRNA from 1 species